GGUCAGUAUGGGCUGUCACCAGGCCACGUGAAGAGGGAGGAAUCUUCCCUAGUGCAGGGCACUGAGCAAGCAGGUGCAAAUCCUGCAGACUUAGGCAGCAAACCUGGGCCUAUGAGAAAGGGUUUUCUCCUCCUGGGACAGGAUAGAGCUCGCAAAUCCCAUUUGCAAGGAAGGAAUAAACUUGUUUUCCACCUUAGCAGGUCAUUGAGCUGUACCUGAGAAAGUCUUGGAAGUGUGUGGCUGUGGAUGGGUCACUACCUAGCCGCACUGGAAGCAGCAAUGGGUGUGUUUAACACCUGUCCGUGAAAAGGAUGACACGAGACACAUUUUAAAGCUGCCUCGGUUUACCUUCUACUCUGUCUCUGCCCUUUGCUUUCUUCUAAGUGCAAAUUUCAUCCAGAAAAUAGCAAUCUACUGAACCAAGAUGGAGACGCUUGUUUUCUGACAACAACUUCAUCUCGCCUUUUCCUGGAAUCAUCCCGAAUCUAUCAUCUGAUGUACUAUUUAAACCUUGGUGUAAUUUCUUAGGUUCAAAGAUGAACAUGACUCUCUCAUGUGCCAUCACUGGAAAAGAAUGCAAACAUCAACACAAAGAAUUGAAAUUAAGCAGUAAGACAGGAAAAAUGCCAGAUGCUGGCUAUAACAGGUGUCCACAGCCAUGGUUGGCAGAUCUUCGGAGCCCCUGGGCCCCUUCUCUGUUUGCAAAA
rnacentral:lncRNA from 1 species